rnacentral:rRNA from 1 species
UACGUAGGGCGCAAGCGUUGUCCGGAAUUAUUGGGCGUAAAGAGCUCGUAGGCGGUCUGUUGCGUCCGCUGUGAAAACCCGGGGCUUAACCCCUGGCUUGCAGUGGAUACGGACAGACUAGAGGUAGGUAGGGGAGAAUGGAAUUCCCGGUGUAGCGGUGAAAUGCGCAGAUAUCAGGAGGAACACCAGCGGCGAAGGCGGCGCUCUGGGCCGGUACUGACGCUGAGGAGCGAAAGCGUGGGGAGCAAACAGG